AACCAUAGAAACCUGCGGAGUACCUGCGGAAGGAUCAUUACAGAGUUGCAAAACUCCCUAAACCAUUGUGAACGUUACCUAAACCGUUGCUUCGGCGGGCGGCCCGGGUCCUUCCCGGCGCCCCUCGGCCCUCGCGGGCGCCCGCCGGAGGUAAACCAAACUAUUGCAUUGUAUGGCCUCUCUGAGUCUUCUGUACUGAAUAAGUCAAAACUUUUAACAACGGAUCUCAGAUCGGAAGAG
rnacentral:misc_RNA from 1 species